GGAAAGUCUCUUUCUUACAGAACCAGGAAUUCGGGAAGGAGCUGAAGACCAGGAGCAUGGAGACCAUGGAGGACUUGGACGAGGGAAACAUGCUGGGGAGAUAACAGGAGAUGGAAAACAAUCCUGUGGCCAGUGACUAUAUACACCCCAAGGCCAGGAGAUGGAAAAUGAGGUGUUCAGCUUUGAAUUUAAGCUGACACUUGAGAAGACUUUGCCUUGGAUGACUGAUUAGAAGUGACACAUUGACAGCAUGAGCUUUUGAAUCCAGUGAAGACUAUCCUGAGCAACAUGAUCCCCAGUGGAUUUCAGACUUGGCUUUUUUGGUCAACAUGCUGCAUUAUCUGAAUCGACUGAAUGUGGAUCUGCAAAGGAAUUUAGGGAUGCUGCCUGACCUGGUGCAGCGUGUUUUCACAUUUGUCAACAAACUCAAGCUGAUCAAGACACAUCUACAAAAGAGAGACAAUUCACACAUUUUCCACCCUUGUUAAAGGCAAGUGGACAAGUAGCAGAGGUUGUAAAAGUGAGUACUGCAGGGUAUGCAACUCUGCUUGAAAACCUCAAGCCAAGAUUGAAGAGGACAAAUUCUACGGAAAUAAAUUACAUUUCAGAUCAUCCCAUUCACUGCUGAAUUAGACUGUUUAAAAGCCUCUUUAGUGGAAGAUGAAUCAGCGUCUCGGCUUGAAAUUACUGAACUUUCAGAGGAUGACAGAUUUAAAAGUAUUCUGAGGGAUCGAACCAUGGAGUUUUAGAAGAUUGUGCCAAUUGAGAGAUAUACCAAUGUCAAACAGGCUGCACUUAAACAAUUGUCAAUGUUUGGGUUAAUUUACAUCUGUGAAUCAUUUAUUUUAUUAUUAUUAUUUUGACACUGAAACAGGUUAAAUCAAAGUAUUGCUCUGUUCUUACUGACACACAUGUAAAAUAGUUACUACGAGUAGUCACAACUGUAUACAAGC